rnacentral:rRNA from 1 species
GACAGAGGAUGCAAGCGUUAUCCGGAAUUAUUGGGCGUAAAGCGUCCGUAGGUGGUUUAGUAAGUCUGCUGUUAAAGCGCGGGGCUUAACUCCGUAUCGGCAGUGGAAACUACUAGACUAGAGUGUGGUAGGGGUAGAGGGAAUUCCCAGUGUAGCGGUGAAAUGCGUAGAUAUUGGGAAGAACACCGGUGGCGAAGGCGCUCUACUGGGCCAUAACUGACACUGAUGGACGAAAGCUAGGGGAGCGAAAGGG